rnacentral:lncRNA from 1 species
AGACAAUGGGCCGAAUGAGACAGCAAGGACAGGUGCUGGCCGCGAUCUUUUGGAGCGGGGCUUCCUGCCUGCGCUGUCCGGCCCCACCUAGAGGAUAUUUACAUUUCAUCUUGUGACUGCGGUUAUGUUUAUUUAUAAAUAAUAAAUAUAUGUUAUUCACCAAUGGAAAGAAGAAAAUAAAGACAAUCAUUUUGAAUUUUUAUAUUUUAUGGCCUUCCUGGCUUUUGGUCCUUUGAACAGACAGCCUGAAAUUUCAAAAAGGAUUCAAGCCUCUAAGAAUUAAAAUGUAAGCCAUGUGUGAAUCUUAAAUUUUCUAGUAGCCACGUUUUAAAAUGUACUAAGAAACAGGUGAAGUUGAUUGUAAUAAUUUAACCCAGUAUGUAACCAUUUUCCUCUAUGGUCAAUAUACAAUUGGUAAGGAAGUAUAUAUUUUGGGGUACUAAAUCUUUGAAGCUCACUCUGUAUUUUACCUUUUCAGCACAUUUCAGUUCAGACCAGCUGUAUUCCUGUUAUUCAAUAGCCACACAUGAUCAAUAGCUGCCACACUAAAGUGCAGCUCUGAGGUCUAACCUCCCUUAUGUCAGGAAGUGGAGGGUCUGAAAGUCCCUUUUCAGCCAGAGGUGAGGGAACAGCCUCUUGCUACAAACAUCUCUCCUCCGGUCGAAGGGUGGACGAGAUGGUGAUCCUAGAGAGCAUAGGGGAAAGCAAAAGAAAAUAUCCACGGGUAGAGGACUGCUGCCCAUCAAUAAUGGGGCCCUAAGAGGAGAGAACACAUCUUCAGAUCUGUCCAUAGCCUUGACCUCCAACAUUUAGAUAUGGAGGAAAUAGACUAGAGGCAGACUUAUCUUGCUAUUUGGCCUUAGCCCU